UUUGUCUUUCUUUCUUUGACAGAUCAUCUAAUAAGUGUUAAGAUUUUAAGAGAAGCAGAAAAAACAUAACACUGGUUGGUACGCAUAAUC
rnacentral:ribozyme from 16 species